CCCCUAGUAACGGCGAGUGAAGAGGGAAAAGCUCAAAUUUUGAAUCUGGUGUCUUUGGCVUCCGAGUUGUAAUCUAGAGAAGUGUUUUYUGCCUUGGACCACACAUAAAUUCCCUGGAAUGGGGUGUCAUAGAGGGUGAGAAUCCCGUUUGUGGUGUGGACUACCUGGGCUAUGURAUACACUCUCAACGAGUCGAGUUGUUUGGGAAUGCAGCUCAAAAUGGGUGGUAAAUUCCAUCUAAAGCUAAAUACUGGCGAGAGACCGAUAGCGAACAAGUACCGUGAGGGAAAGAUGAAAAGCACUUUGGAAAGAGAGUGAAACAGUACGUGAAAUUGUUGAAAGGGAAGCGUUUGAAGUCAGUCACAUUGGUCAGAAUUCAGCCUGGCUUCUGCCUGGUUCACUUUCUGGCAAAUGGGUCAGCAUCAAUUUUGAUUGAGGGAGAAAGACUUGAGGAAUGUGGCUGUCUUCGGACAGUGUUAUAGCCUCUUGUUGUAUGUCUCUUUUGGGAUUGAGGAAUGCAGCACGCCUUAUGGCCGGGGUUCGCCCUCGGUACGUGCUUAGGAUGUUGACUUAA
rnacentral:rRNA from 1 species